GGAAUGGUGACAAUUUACGACUGGCUCAGGUGUGGUGAAUCAGUGAUUCGGGCGCUGUUUGAGUGUUAAGUGCAUGGAGGAGCCGAUGCUGAUUGAGCCGUGAUGUACCAUUAUUUCCCUGUGUGACCGGGUAUGGGUGGGUGAACUAUGGCAAAGUGAAAUCAAACUCCUCCUGUGUUUAAUCAGCGUCAGCUGGAUUCUGUGACUGCAGUGGGUUGUUUCCUGUUCAUUGUUAAUGUUCCAACAGAUCUGUGCAGUUUACCCCUGAGUUGUUAGCUGCUGUUCUCCAUACUGUGUGAUUGUGGAUGCUGCUUGGAGUGUAUGGUAGCUGUAUAUUAUUAUUUUUGGUAAUAUGUUUUGUUUUCCUCUAGCCUGUCGGCUAUAGCUGUUGCUGUAUGUGAUUUGUGUGAAUUGUACGUCACAGGCUAGAGUGGGUUUAUUUAUAUAUUUCUUUUUUUUUGUUAUUUUCUUUAUGCCCUAUUUCCCUUUUUUUUUUUUUUGUAACCAGCCUCUGUGUUAGUGGAGCCAGGGUAGCUUGUGUCCAAGAGACUUUACUGGAAGGCAGGCUUCCCUUUCUUGCUUAACAAAGAAGUUUGCAGUGUAGAGUGGACCCUAAUGUCUCUUAACCAUAUUUAUUGGAGUGCUGUGAGUUUGGUGUAGCUUUUGAACUCUAGUGUGUAUUACCAGAAAGAAAGGGUCUGUGUUCUGGUUCACGGGUGGUAGUAUGAACUUAGCCUUCCCUUAGGUUCUCUGUUUUCUUAAUGGCUCUACUGGCUCCUAUGUGGAUGGCUUGGUGAUUCCCCGAUCUAUUCAUUUGUUUGACUUAUUUGUUUCCUUUUUUUUUCUUUGGACCAACCAACACUGCCAACCAUUUCUUAAUAAAGAUUGUAUUUUUAUACUUUUCUACGAACCUGUGUUUGUACAUUCUUAUUGGGGCAGAGUUUCCCUUGCUCUGACCCUUGCACUAACCAGUGUAGCCCAAGGGGUGGCGUAGUCAGUGGUACAGUGCGGGCCGCCACACUUAAGAUACUGGACUUCCUCAAUCCAUUGGCCUUGCAGUUUCAGUCUUGCAGUCUAACUGUUCUGACUUUAAGUACCUGUUUUAAUUAAAGGCCUAUAUAAGUAAUACAGUAAGUCAUACAAAAUGAAAAUUCAUGUUGUUCCAAAUCUGUGCGGUUUCCUUUUUUUCUGUGGAACAUAAGAAGAUAUUUUAAAGAAUGUUGGUAACCAAACACUUUUGGUUUCCAUUGUCUUCAAUUGUAUGGACCAAAAAUAUUUUAAACAAAAUGAUAGAAUUAAAAAAAAAGGGGCCAUGUGACAAUGAAUUUAAUGAGAUAAAAUAAUAAUAAAAAAGGAAAUUAAUUUACUCAAGCAACAAAAGUGCUCAUAUCUGUGUUUUUAAUGGUUUAUAUGUUAUUUUCAUGUCACACGGAAAAGAUGUGCACAAAAAUAUGAUGCAGUGUUUCCUCUAUUUAUUUGCAAUUCAAAGAAGGCAUUGGGGAAUGCACCAACUGAUAUUUCACACCGGAUUCUAGCUGUGGUUUGUAGUUUGAACCAAAAGUAAUUGAAUGCCUUUGUAUGUGGAAUAUUAAUUUGAUUUUCAUACUCUCCUGCAUGAUGUCAGAUAAGAUCAAAUUCAAAACAGUGUUUCUAACAUCAUAUAACCGCAGGGACUGGCUGGUUUUCCUGCUUCAAUUUCAAAUGGAGGAUGCCCAUUUCCAUUUUUAAUAGUGGAGCAGCUUCCUAAGUACCACUUAAACCACCAAAUUCAAUUAUAUUUUGUAAGUUACAUCUAUAGAGAUAAGAAAAAAGGACAAAGGAAAAUGCAUGGUGAAUUGUGAGGGAAAGGAUUGAUGAGUAUGUUUGGCCUUCGCAGGAAUGGAGAGGGAGAGCAAUAAUGUACAAUAUUAAAAAUGAAGCUGGGGCGGGGGAUAAUACAGCAGGACAAUAAAGAGAUUUGAAUGACAGCAUAAUGAUGAGAAUGAUGAUGGAGAUUGAUAGAGGAAACGUUAAGUAAAUUUGAGUAAAAUAUUUUAAGUCUCAAGUCAUUAUUUCUUUUUAUUUUUAAAUUUUUCACUUUUUUUAUUUUAUUUUCGUGUUUAUUACUAAUAUUUUUCUAUGAACUGCAUAUUAUGUAUGAAAAGUGCUAGCUACCUAUGUAUGUUUGUAUUUAUAAUAUUUUUUAUAUUUUGGUUGAGCAUUUUAAAAUGUAUUUAAAGACUAGUACAACUCUGUGGACACAUCCAAAACAAGCAUGAAAGCACCCAAAACAUGCUCUAUACCAGUCAAUAUACUGGUCAAGAGGGUUUUAUUUGUCAUUUUCACCAGCUAAACAAACACAUCUUGUAUACUUUUGGUGCUUAUAUUUGUAUUUUUGCCCUUUCUGUACCCUAAGGAGACCCUAAGAAUGCUUUUAUUCUGCCUUGUCUAUCCGAACAACAAGACAAAUGACACACACACGCACGCACGCGCACGCACGCCUCACAAGUCCACAGACCCACCCCAUUCCACCAUUACCAACAGCCUCAACCACGUGUGAUUUGCUGCUCGGCUUCUGAAACCUGUGAUGACCACCUGCACAUCCGGCUCAGUGCCUGCUUUAAACACCAUCAGUGCACCAUUCAACUAUUACACUGUAAAAAGU